UGCAGUUGGUGGCCGAGUCGCGUGUGUGCGCUAGCCUGGGUAUAAAACCCUCCAUUGUGUACUGAUGUAGGGGCGCCGGUCUGUUGCCGCGCCACGAUGAUGGUAUAUGCCGAACCGAGGGGGAGGGGCCUAAGAAAGAUCUAGUCUUCAUCGGGACCGUGGUCGUUCGGCGGCCGGGGCGUUCGUCGCCGGAAAAUUCUAUUCAUCUUCUUCUACCUUCGUCCGGCGGUCGUCGCCGGAGGGCGGUUCGGCGUAUGUCGCCGGUGGGUUUGUCCCAACAUUUGGUAUCAUGAGCUUGGUGUCUUGGGCGUGUUUGCCGUGCCGGAGGCGUGACAGCGAUGACGGCGUUCGCCGGCGGCUGCGCGAUGGAGCUCCGGGCGGUGUGUCGGCCUAUGGAGGUGUGCGGUGCUGCAGCGGUCAUGGCGGAGGCGGAGGCGACACACGGUGAGUCCGCGAUGAGCUCGGCGGACGUGGAGGCUUCGGCGGCGCGGUGGCGGCACGCGGCAAGCACGGUGGCGACCGGCGUCGGUGCGGCAGGUCGAGUCCGUGGCAGUGGCGACCGGCGUUAGCGCGUCAGGUCGGGUCCGCGGCCGUGACGACAAUGACGAUGGAAGCAGCAGCAUCAACUCCAGCGACCACGAGCAGGCGACAUGUUACAGCGACGACGGAGGUGUUAAAGACGACGUCGACGACGAGCCGGGGCUCGUGCUGGCAGGCUACCCGGCGAGGUUGUGGCUUAGGGUGAAAGUGUUAGACAUAAGCCACGUGUGUGUGUGCGUCGAGCCGGGCGCCGGUGCAUGGCCGCGUCAAUGGUCUUGGCGAGCGUGUCCGUUGCUGUGGUGAUGGGUUGAGCAGGCGCUGCGUGCGUGGGUAGCAGAGGGCUACAAAGCCGGGCCACGUCCAGGUUGUUAGCUAGGUGCAUGCAUCAGAUGGAUAUGACGCGCAUGUAGGCUAGUUAGUUGGUUAGCUACCGGGUCACGUGGUUAGUUAGCAAGAUUAGAAGAACGCCCGUGCGUUGCAACGGGGUCACAUUAAUUUCAAGAGUUCAAUAUUACGACAUUGAUGAUCUUUUUUA